rnacentral:rRNA from 1 species
GAUGAACUUCCUUCGGGAAGGGAUUAGUGGCGAACGGGUGAGUAACACGUGAGAAAUCUGCCCUUCACUCUGGAAUAACUCCGGGAAACCGGAGCUAAUACCGGAUACUCAAAUCUGGCGGCAUCGCUGGACUUGGAAAGUUUUUCGGUGAAGGAUGAUCUCGCGGCCUAUCAGCUUGUUGGUGAGGUAACGGCUCACCAAGGCUACGACGGGUAACCGGCCUGAGAGGGCGAACGGUCACACUGGGACUGAGACACGGCCCAGACUCCUACGGGAGGCAGCAGUGGGGAAUAUUGGGCAAUGGGCGGAAGCCUGACCCAGCGACGCCGCGUGAGGGAUGAAGGCCUUCGGGUUGUAAACCUCUUUCAGCAGGGAAGAAGCGAAAGUGACGGUACCUGCAGAAGAAGCACCGGCUAACUAUGUGCCAGCAGCCGCGGUAAUACAUAGGGUGCAAGCGUUGUCCGGAAUUAUUGGGCGUAAAGAGCUCGUAGGUGGCUCGUCACGUCGAAUGUGAAACCCUGAGGCUCAACCUCAGGCCUGCAUCCGAUACGGGCGAACUGGAGUGUGGUAGGGGAGACUGGAAUUCCUGGUGUAGCGGUGGAAUGCGCAGAUAUCAGGAGGAACACCAAUGGCGAAGGCAGGUCUCUGGGCCACUACUGACACUGAGGAGCGAAAGCGUGGGGAGCAAUCAGGAUUAGAUACCCUGGUAGUCCACGCUGUAAACGGUGGGCACUAGUUGUGGGAACCUUCCACGGUUUCUGCGACGCAGCUAACGCAUUAAGUGCCCCGCCUGGGGAGUACGGUCGCAAGACUAAAACUCAAA